UACAACCCGUUUAUAUUCACAUGUUUUAUCUCUGUAAUAACUUUAUAAUAUAUACGCCAGUCUAGUCUGAAUACUAAAGGUGUUAACUUCCUUCAUUGGUGAUCCCGUCUAUACAAUGCCGAAUAACCACUCGUAAGAAUCCCCAUCUGAUAAUUCCCCCACCGAAGUUCCGCAAAAAAUUACAAUCAUUCCUGGGAAUGGUAAAAUAUUACUCCAGGUUUAUACCGAACCUGGCUAGACAUACCGGUUCUCUUCAUCCGUUGUUGCGUGGGGAUAAGAUAUUUGAAUGAGACUCCCACAGCAGAGAGCAUUCGAUGAAAUCAAAUCCAAUCUAGCAAGGCGCACUUUUCUGGCGUCUAGACAAGAUAAAGCACCCUUGGUUCUAACAAUUGACGCGUCUUUAUACGGAAUGGCGCUUCACUGGAGCAACGGCGUGGAAACACUUGGGUCCCGUUUGCCUUUUGGUCAAGAUCCCUCACUUCGACACAACAAAAAUAUUCAGCAUUUGAUAGAAAACUCCUUGCUGUCAGGGAGGCAUUAUCUCACUUUCGGUGGGCGUUGGAGGGAGUACAGUUCACGGUGUUCUUGGAGCAUAAACUUUUGACUUCAGCUCUCGAAUCUUAGAAUCCUUCUUGGAAGUCAAAGCAAUUCAGAGCGUUUUCAUUUAUUUCUGAAUUUCAUUGCAGUAUAGUACAUAAAUCGGGAAAGUCAAACGUUGUCGCAAACACCUUAUCCCGACUCCUGGAACCGGUUUGAGUGGAAUCAUUUCCACUCUUGGAUGACAUCUCUCGGACCAGGCCAUUUCUGAUCCUCGAAUGUUAGAGUUUAAAUCAAAACACUUCGUGACGAAGAGCUUCGGAUGAAUAAUUUAAUGAGUUUUGUAUCAGGGGAUAAUUGUAGAGCCAUCAUUUCCUCAGAAGAACUAAGAAAAACGUGUUUCAUGCUGCCCAUGAUCUUUUACAUCCCAGGCUUAAGUCAACACUGCGAGAGAUAUCAAAGUCUUUCGCCUGGCCUAGUUUGAGAAAUGAGUUCAAAACUUGGGUCGAGGCUUACCUCGCAUGUCAAAAGAAUAAAAGCGUUAUUCAUCUAAGACCUUCAGGAGCAACACCCUUCGAUAAGAAUCCUGGCAGAUUCACUUACUCUCACGAAAGGUUAUAAAUUUCUUCUCACCGUUCUUGACAUGUCAAUUAGAUGGGCUGAAGCCCUGAUGAUGGUGGAUACGACGGCCGAAAGCAUAGUCAACACCUUCUUUUCUGGUUGGGUUUUAAGAUUUGGUGUACCCGAGUCCAUUCACUCGGACAGAGGGGCUCAGUUUACGGGACACUAUGGAAACUGUUAGGACAACUCCACGGUGCGAAAACCUUGUUAACUACUUCUUGCCAUCUUGAGCCAAAUGGGAUUAUAGAAAGGUUUGAUUGAACACUAAAAACUGCUAUCUUGUCCAGGAUGCAACAAGAAGGAGAAUCUUGGUUGCAAUCCCUACAUUUCGUCCUCCUUGGACUUCGUUCUCUCCUAUACACCAUCUUUUGGGAUCUGCACUGCGUCUUCCUCUGUCUUUGGUAGAAUCUACCGGUACUCAAAAUGAUCGAAAUCUGUUAGAGAAAUUCCAAAACAUCAGGCAUACACCUCCACGAACGAUAUCAGAUCCACCUCAUAGAAUACAGUCCGUAUUUGACUCCCUCAAACGAGCUACACAUGUGUUGGUUAAAAACAAACCAAUUAAACCGACCUUCGCUCUGGUGUACAAUGGUGCUUUCAAGAUUUUGUCUAAACGUACCUUUAAAGUGGUUUUGUUUCUGUAGAUCGACUGAAUCCAGCGUUUGGAAUAACAGACAUUCUUCCGGUGUUUCAAAACAUAUCGUCUCUGCGUCUCAGAUUAAAUUCAGAUCAUUAAUUUUAUCAUUUUAAUUUCAAAUGCGUGUAUUUUUACCAUUUAAAUUUUGUAUGAUUACUUUUAUUUGAUUUAUUUUAUUUCAAUUCCAAAUACUCAUGUUUUUACCAUCUUUAUUUUUGUAUACUUUCAUUCUCAGAAUAAGUAUUUCAUUUAUUAUAAUCUCGAAGCAUAUUCUGGAGGGAAUAUUGUGGGAUGUGUACAACCCGUUUAUAUUCACAUGUUUUAUCUCUGUAAGAACUUAAUACAUAUAUACGUCAGUCUAGUCUAAAUACUAAAGGUGUUAACUUCCUUCAUGUACGUAAUAGAAGAGUUGAAUAUGUUUUGGACAACAAAAAAUUCAUAUUCAAGGAUCGUCUUCUACUUAUUUAAAUGGCAGAAGAUACCGACAUGUGAUGAUGGAAUCGGAAGCGAGGAUUAAGCAUUUAUAAUUACAUAAAUAAUACAACUUUAUUUAUGGAUCCAGUGUCAUAAAUAUGAGUUGUUUGUUUGUUAUGUAGAUUAAUGACACUUGAGGACUCGAAUCAAUGAAAGAGUUUUUUAAGAAUAUUAGGAGACGAAAUAGAGUAGAAUUGGUAGGAGUUUCAAUGGAAGAGCUGCAAAUGAAGAAUGAUAAUUCUUAAAUAAGUAUAUAAUGAUUCCAUAAGAUCACGAGCGAUGGAGCUGUACUUGAACCAAUGGAUGAUAAGAUAACAGAUUUUGACGUUAAAUGUCAUCUGCACAAUGAAUGAUACUUCCAUUAAAUUAAAUGCAAUCCAUCGAGUCACGGACAAAAAUAUUUUCUAAAGGGAUGAGAUACCUAACAUCACGGAAGUCCCCAUGUCAUAAACACAAAUGAAUCCAAUGGAAAUAUGAGGGAACUCAAAUCCAUAAAUCCGGAUGUUUAAAGAAAAAUACAUCCAAACCAUCCUUAUUGUCUUAAUUAAUUUCAUGUAAAUAUCACUAUUAUAUCUAAAGUUUAUCAUAAGAACUGUUUUCACAUAAAA
rnacentral:lncRNA from 1 species